UACGAAGGGGGCUAGCGUUGCUCGGAAUCACUGGGCGUAAAGGGUGCGUAGGCGGGUCUUUAAGUCAGGGGUGAAAUCCUGGAGCUCAACUCCGGAACUGCCUUUGAUACUGGCGAUCUUGAGAUCGGAAGAGGUGAGUGGAAUUCCCAGUGUAGAGGUGAGAUUCGUAGAUAUUGGGAAGAACACCAGUGGCGAAGGCGGCUCACUGGUCCGAUACUGACGCUGAGGUGCGAAAGCGUGGGGAGCAAACAGG
rnacentral:rRNA from 1 species